rnacentral:rRNA from 1 species
UAGAGUUUGAUCCUGGCUCAGAGCGAACGUUUGCGGCGGGCUUAACACAUGCAAGUCGAACGAGAACCUCUCUUUCGGGAGGGGGGACAGUGGCGCACGGGUGCGUAACACGUGGGUAAUCAACCCUUUGGACUGGGACAACCCGGGGAAACCCGGGCUAAUACCGGAUGUGGCAUGCGGCACCAUGGCGCUCCGGGCGAAAGCUUCGCAAGGGGCGCUAGAGGACGAGCCCGCGGCCCAUCAGCUAGUUGGUGAGGUAAUGGCUCACCAAGGCUUAGACGGGUAGCUGGUCUGGGAGGAUGAUCAGCCACACUGGAACUGAGACACGGUCCAGACUCCUACGGGAGGCAGCAGUGGGGAAUAUUGCGCAAUGGACGAAAGUCUGACGCAGCCACGCCGCGUGAGCGAUGAAGGCCCUCGGGUCGUAAAGCUCUGUGGAUGGAGAAGAAUAAAGGCUGUGAAGAGCAGCCCUUGACGGUAUCCAUUUAGCAAGCACCGGCUAACUCCGUGCCAGCAGCCGCGGUAAUACGGAGGGUGCGAACGUUGCUCGGAAUCAUUGGGCGUAAAGCGCGCGUAGGCGGCUUGGUAAGUUGGAUGUGAAAGCCCAGGGCUCAACCCUGGAAGUGCAUCCAAAACUACCUGGCUUGAAUUGCGGAGGGGGCCAGAGAAUUCCCGGUGUAGAGGUGAAAUUCGUAGAUAUCGGGAGGAAUACCAGUGGCGAAGGCGCUGGCCUGGACGACAAUUGACGCUGAGGUGCGAAAGCGUGGGGAGCGAACAGGAUUAGAUACCCUGGUAGUCCACGCCGUAAACGAUGAGUGCUAGAUGGUGGGAGAGAUUAACCCUUUCGUCAUCGUAGCUAACGCGUUAAGCACUCCGCCUGGGGAGUACGGUCGCAAGACUAAAACUCAAAGGAAUUGACGGGGGCCCGCACAAGCGGUGGAGCAUGUGGUUUAAUUCGACGCUACGCGCAGAACCUUACCUGGGUUAAAUCCUUCAGAAUCUAGCGUAAUUGCUGGAGUGCCCUUCGGGGAAUUGAAGCGAAGGUGCUGCAUGGCUGUCGUCAGCUCGUGUCGUGAGAUGUUGGGUUAAGUCCCGCAACGAGCGCAACCCUCGUCCUGUGUUGCCACCGGUUCGGCCGGGCACUCACAGGAGACCGCCAGCGACAAGUUGGAGGAAGGUGGGGACGACGUCAAGUCAUCAUGGCCUUUAUGUCCAGGGCUACACACGUGCUACAAUGGCCGGUACAAAGCGCUGCCAACCCGCGAGGGGGAGCCAAUCGCAAAAAACCGGUCUCAGUUCGGAUUGCAGGCUGCAACCCGCCUGCAUGAAGCUGGAAUCGCUAGUAAUGGCGUAUCAGAACGACGCCGUGAAUACGUUCCCGGGCCUUGUACACACCGCCCGUCACAUCACGAAAGUGGAUUGUACUAGAAGUCUGCAUGCUAACCUUCGGGGGAGGCAGCGGCCCAAGGUAUGAUUCAUGAUUGGGGUGAAGUCGUAACAAGGUAACC